GAUGAACGCUGGCGGCGUGCCUAAUACAUGCAGGUCGAGCGAACAGACGAGGAGCUUGCUCCUCUGACGUUGGCGGCGGACGGGUGAGUAACACGUGGAUAACCUACCUAUAAGACUGGGAUAACUUCGGGAAACCGGAGCUAAUACCGGAUAAUAUAUUGAACCGCAUGGUUCAAUAGUGAAAGACGGUUUUGCUGUCACUUAUAGAUGGAUCCGCGCCGCAUUAGCUAGUUGGUAAGGUAACGGCUUACCAAGGCGACGAUGCGUAGCCGACCUGAGAGGGUGAUCGGCCACACUGGAACUGAGACACGGUCCAGACUCCUACGGGAGGCAGCAGUAGGGAAUCUUCCGCAAUGGGCGAAAGCCUGACGGAGCAACGCCGCGUGAGUGAUGAAGGUCUUCGGAUCGUAAAACUCUGUUAUUAGGGAAGAACAAAUGUGUAAGUAACUAUGCACGUCUUGACGGUACCUAAUCAGAAAGCCACGGCUAACUACGUG
rnacentral:rRNA from 1 species